CUCAAAUCCAAACUGAAAGAUGAAAUCAUCUUUUUCACUUUUUAAAAAGUCUAGGCCAGGCACAGUGGCUCACACCUGUAAUCCCAACACUUUGGGAAGCUGAGGCGGGACGAUCACAAGGUCAGGAGUUGGAGACCAGCCUGGCCAAUAUGGUGAAACCCCAUCUCUACUAAAAAUACAAAACUUAGCCGGGUGUGGUGGCACACGCCUAUCCCAGCUACUUGGGAGGCUGAGGCACAAGAAUCGCUUGAACCUGGGAGGCAGAGAUUGCA
rnacentral:lncRNA from 10 species